rnacentral:rRNA from 1 species
UACGAAGGGGGCUAGCGUUGUUCGGAAUUACUGGGCGUAAAGCGCUCGCAGGCGGAUCGAUAAGUCAGGGGUGAAAUCCCGGGGCUCAACCUCGGAAUUGCCUUUGAUACUGUCAAUCUCGAGUCCGGGAGAGGUGAGUGGAAUUCCUAGUGUAGAGGUGAAAUUCGUAGAUAUUAGGAAGAACACCAGUGACGAAGGCGGCUCACUGGCCCGGAACUGACGCUCAUGAGCGAAAGCGUGGGGAGCAAACAGGG